rnacentral:rRNA from 1 species
GAACGCUGGCGGCGUGCCUAAUACAUGCAAGUCGAACGGCUUUUCUAUGGAAGCUUGCUUCCACUGAGAAGAUAGUGGCGAACGGGUGAGGUAACACGUGGGGUAACCUGCCCAUAAGAGGGGGAUAACAUCCGGAAACGGGUGCUAAUACCGCAUAGUUUUCUUGAUCGCAUGAUUGAGAAAGGAAAGACGGCCUUUGUGCUGUCGCUUAUGGAUGGACCCGCGGCGUAUUAGUUAGUUGGUGAGGUAACGGCUCACCAAGACGAUGAUACGUAGCCGACCUGAGAGGGUGAUCGGCCACAUUGGGACUGAGACACGGCCCAAACUCCUACGGGAGGCAGCAGUAGGGAAUCUUCCGCAAUGGACGAAAGUCUGACGGAGCAACGCCGCGUGAGUGAAGAAAAGGGUUUUCGGAUCGUAAAACUCUGUUGUCAGAGAAGAACAAGUUGGAGAGUAACUGCUCCAGCCUUGACGGUAUCUGACCAGAAAGCCACGGCUAACUACGUGCCAGCCGCUGC